UGUGGGAGCUGGCUUGCCUGCGAUGGCGGUGGGUCAGUCAAUGGUAUGUCGACUGAUAGUCCGCUAUCGCAGGCAAGCCAGCUCCCACA
rnacentral:antisense_RNA from 1 species